rnacentral:rRNA from 1 species
CUGACACUGAGGGACGAAAGCUAGGGGAGCGAAUGGGAUUAGAUACCCCAGUAGUCCUAGCCGUAAACGAUGGAUACUAGGCGUGGCUUGUAUCGACCCAAGCAGUGCCGGAGCUAACGCGUUAAGUAUCCCGCCUGGGGAGUACGCACGCAAGUGUGAAACUCAAAGGAAUUGACGGGGGCCCGCACAAGCGGUGGAGUAUGUGGUUUAAUUCGAUGCAACGCGAAGAACCUUACCAAGACUUGACAUGUCGCGAAUCUCUCUGAAAGGAGAGAGUGCCUUCGGGAGCGCGAACACAGGUGGUGCAUGGCUGUCGUCAGCUCGUGUCGUGAGAUGUUGGGUUAAGUCCCGCAACGAGCGCAACCCUCGUUUUUAGUUGCCAGCAUUAAGUUGGGCACUCUAGAGAGACUGCCGGUGACAAACCGGAGGAAGGUGGGGAUGACGUCAAGUCAGCAUGCCCCUUACGUCUUGGGCUACACACGUACUACAAUGCUACGGACAAAGGGCAGCUACACAGCAAUGUGAUGCAAAUCUCACAAAACCGUAGCUCAGUUCAGAUCGCAGGCUGCAACUCGCCUGCGUGAAGUCGGAAUCGCUAGUAAUUGCAGGUCAGCAUACUGCAGUGAAUUCGUUCCCGGGCCUUGUACACACCGCCCGUCACACCAUGGAAGCUGGUCACGCCCGAAGUCGUUACCCCAACUGUUCGCAGAGGGGGAUGCCGAAGGCAGGACUGGUGACUGGGGUGAAGUCGUAACAAGGUAGCCGUACCGGAAGGUGUGGCUGGAUCACCUCCUUUUAGGGAGACCGAAUCCACUCAAACAUCGAAAGCAAAUCGCAAUUAGAUACUGAGUUGGUCAUUCCUAGGUCGGUCGAGAAUUGGUGAAAGCUUUCAAAGUAUUUUUGGUUCAGUUCAUUUAUAAACAUCUUAAUCUCUAAUUGGAAUAAAAAUUCAGCAAUUGAUUGCUUCAUACAAUCGAACUGCUGGGUGAUAAUCCAGCCAGAACCUUGAAAACUGCAUAGUAACGCGAAAAAAAAGCAGGCAGACGGAUUAGAGUCCUGAUUGCUUCUUGACUGAGUGCUGAGUGAAAUCAGUGCCUAGAAGGAAGUAAACAGAACGAAAAAAAGUUUGCAGAAACACCAAUGUAAAUGUGGUCAAGCUAAUAAGGGCUUACGGUGGAUACCUAGGCACACAGAGGCGAAGAAGGACGUGGUUACCGACGAUAUACUCCGGGGAGUUGGAAGCAAACAUUGAGCCGGAGGUUUCCGAAUGGGGCAACCCUAAAUACUACCUGUUGAAUAUAUAGACAGGAAAGAGCCAACCCAGCGAACUGAAACAUCUUAGUAGCUGGAGGAAGAGAAAUCAAAAGAGAUUCCCUAAGUAGUGGUGAGCGAAAGGGGAAAAGCCUAAACCAAAGGAUUUAUCCUUUGGGGUAGUGGGACAGCGAUAUCGAAUCUGGCGGUUAGACGAAGCAGCUAAAUACUGCACCAAAGAAGGUGAAAGUCCUGUAGUCGAAAACUCAAGGAUAGUAGCUGAAUCCCGAGUAGCAUGGGGCACGAGGAAUCCCAUGUGAAUCAGCGAGGACCAUCUCGUAAGGCUAAAUACUACUGUGUGACCGAUAGUGAACCAGUACCGCGAGGGAAAGGUGAAAAGAACCCCGGAAGGGGAGUGAAAUAGAACAUGAAACCGUAAGCUUACAAGCAGUGGGAGGACGAUUGAACGUCUGACCGCGUGCCUGUUGAAGAAUGAGCCGGCGACUUAUAGGCACUGGUAGGUUAAGGCGAGAAUGCCGGAGCCAAAGGGAAACCGAGUCUGAAAAGGGCGCUCAAUCAGUGUUUAUAGACCCGAACCCUGGUGAUCUAACCAUGGCCAGGAUGAAGCUUGGGUAACACCAAGUGGAGGUCCGAACCGACUGAUGUUGAAAAAUCAGCGGAUGAGCUGUGGUUAGGGGUGAAAUGCCAAUCGAACCAGGAGCUAGCUGGUUCUCCCCGAAAUGUGUUUAGGCGCAGCGGUAAUGAUUAAAUCUGGGGGGUAAAGCACUGUUUCGGUGCGGGCUGGGAGACCGGUACCAAAUCGAGACAAACUCAGAAUACCCAGAGAACACAUUGCCAGUGAGACAGUGGGGGAUAAGCUUCAUUGUCAAGAGGGAAACAGCCCAGACCACCAGCUAAGGUCCCCAAAUCAUCACUAAGUGAUAAAGGAGGUGGGAUUGCAUAGACAACUAGGAGGUUUGCCUAGAAGCAGCCAACCUUAAAAGAGUGCGUAAUAGCUCACUAGUCAAGCGAUCCUGCGCCGAAAAUGAACGGGGCUAAGUGAUGUACCGAAGCUGUGGGAUUAAUCUAGUAUUAAUCGGUAGGGGAGCGUUCCGUAUUAGGUAGAAGCAGUAGCGGCGAGCAGCUGUGGACGAAACGGAAGUGAGAAUGUCGGCUUGAGUAGCGCAAACAUUGGUGAGAAUCCAAUGCCCCGAAACCCUAAGGGUUCCUCCGCCAGGUUCGUCCACGG